rnacentral:tRNA from 1 species
AAGAUUUUAAGUUAAAUUUAAACUAUUAAUCUUCAAAAUUAAAAAUAAAAUAAAAUUUUAAAUCUUA